GUAUAAGAAAACUUAAACUAGCACUAUGUGAGACAAUAACAUUCCCUACUAGAUACAUGCAAGACAUGGUUGCGACUAUUUUUUCUAAAAUUAACCUAUGUGGCUAAAAGUGGCUAAAAAUACAAGAUUUGGCUAAGACCCGCGGAGCCAAGAACCUAAACUCACUAGGAAGACCGGACCCUAUGUGGGUUGCCUACGUAUCACGCUCCGAAAGACGAGAAUCAGGUAUGCGUAGUUAGGGCAGAUUUGACGAAAAUAAAAACCAACUAUUUUUUGAAAGCAAGAACAACAGAAAAUUUUUGUCGAAAUUUUGGCAGAGUUUCGGUAUAUUUUUUGGACACUGAUUUUUCAAAAACAGACAAUUAUCUCUCUCAGCCCUCACAUUGACUUUUCCUUUCCAACUAUCUUCUAAUUAUUCAUAAGUCGGUCAGCAUGCAAACCGGAACAAAUAAAUGCACAAGUAGCAAGUAGAUGCAUCAGGAUGGUCUUUUUAUUUUGGGUACACCUGUCCUAGACAGACCAACCCCUGUGUUGGGUCUCCAAAAGUCAAAUGCAUGUGAUGCAAACAAACGUUCCUACAAGGGAUCCGGCAUGAGGCUUUGUUAUACUAGGUUUAAAACCUGGGUUUAUUGUUCUAGACCUGGCUUACCCGAGCGGACAACUCGAGCCGAGGGGGGGGGCAGCGUACCGGGAAUACAAAAGCUUCACCGGCCUUGCAACUUGUCCGAACCUCGUUCUAAAAUGUGAUAAGACUCUAGACAGAAGAGAAGUCACACGAAGUACACCAUUCUCCAUGAUUUAGAAGACUCAGAAAGAAGAAGGGUUUCGUAGCAAUUUAUAUACAGUUCACAGAAUAUCAAAGCGGUAAAAGCAACACUUAGCACAUUAGUCCCAAACAUGUAACAAAAUCAGAUAAUAAAUAAAGCCAACUAUAACAAUUCAUCUAAGCUCGAAUUCUGAAACCUGAACCAGAGAUUCUGGGUUCUUGUUCCCCAGCAGAGUCGCCAGAGCUGUCACACCUCCUUUUUCCUGCCCCGGGAAAGGAGUAUAAGGAGUUUUUUCAAUUAAAGUGAGAAUCGAAACGGGAUUAUUUAUUUAAGAUUCAGAGUCGCCACUUGGGAUAAUUUAUGGUGUCCCAAGUCACCGGUUCAAAUUCCGAAUCGAGGAAGUUUGACUCUGUUUUACAGUCCGCGAACAUAGAAAUCCGGGUAAGGAAUUAUGUUAACCCAAGAGAAGGUGUUAGGCAUUCCCGAGUUCUGUGGUUCUAGCACGGUCUCUCAACUAUUACUAUUGGCCUAUUAUCUGAUUUUUAAUACAUUUUAAACCUAUGUUCAUUUUUAACUUUCAAACCUCUUUUAUUUAAUUUUAGGAAUUUUCAGUGUUGUCUAAAACACAUCUUGAACAACGCCACAUGAAAUCCAUCUGAGGUCCAUCACACAUUUUAUUUAACGUUGUUGAGAAUUUGAUUUGGGUCACAUGAAAUGCACACCCGAGUUUAAGGAAAUUAAUUUAAAUAACGUGCUUAAAGCAACUACGCACUUUCAAGUUUGCGAGGGCCAUGAAAAAUUCAACUAAUGGCACAACUCGAUUUCUAAAGAGUUAAAAUUAAUCAAGUGAGGGCCAUGGGUUAUCUAUUUUUUUAUGGCACACCUCGAGUCUAUUUGUCAAAGAAAUCUUGAUCUAGUUCUAAUAGGGCCAUAAAUUAUGGAUAGGAAACUAUUGUGGAAAAAUGGUAUGAUCUUGUUGUUAGGUUAAUGGGCUAAUAAAUAUUUAAAAGAAACUACAACUCAAAUGCACUUUCUUUGCAUCCGAUUAAUUCCAACCAUUACGCAUCCCACUGGUUAACAAAUAUCAAUUUGAACUCAUGAAUUAAUCACGCAAAAUGAGUAAAUGGGACAACCAGUGAUUAAGAUACCAGUUCCAAAGAGUAUGCAAAGAAUAGCUAGAAACAAAAGAAACUCUAUACAAAACCAAAUUGUUAUGCGUCUGGUUCAACAAAGAAGUCAAACAUUUUUGCAAACUUAAGGAAUUAACAUUAUUAAAUUAUUUCUCCAAAUGUAGUGCACCCACUACUUAUUAGCUCAAACUAUUUUACUUGUAAUCCCAAUACUUGUUCCAUCCUAUUCAAUCAAUGGGAUUCAACAGUAAAAAUCAUAAUACUUCACAAAUCUGUAUAACAUCAAAUAGUCAAGCCAAUGAACACAUAGCUAAAAAUUGCACAAAGCUCCAACAUUGCACAAGAUCACCGAUAAUGAACUCGUAACUAUUUUAACCCAAGCAAAGGCAUUCUUGGUUAAGAGUAAAGAACAAAUACCAAGCUUAAUAGAUAUUACAAUCAAAUGCUACCAAAAUAAAAUCCAGAGAUUGAACGAUGAACAAGGAGUUUAGUACCGAACCUUUUCAGAAGCCAAACUUCUUCAAGCAAAUUUUAUUAGCAAGCAUUUCAGUGAAACUACAACAGCUGAGAUCAAAGCCUAAUGGACUCCAAUAGAGAAAAUCCCACCAAAAAUCGAAUGAAAACGCAUCGGCGCCAGAACCUCGAACGUUUUAUGUGUGAGCUGGUGCUUUUUGCGGCAGGUUUUAUGGAUGUAUUUCGCUGAAUUUUGAUUGCUUUUUUGGCCAGAUUUUACUCUAGUAUUUAGCUAACGUUUAUGAGGGUUGAAGAGUUAUGGAAAAAAUUAGUUUUCGAGGUGAAGAAAUAGUGUAUUUCAGCUACAUUUUUCCAGUGAUUUUGGAUCUAUUUUUGACUGAUUUCAAGGUAUUAUGUUGCUGGUUUUUGAAGCAUUAUUGGGGUGUGUUUAAUAGGGAUUUUGAGGGGAUUUCAUAGCUAUUUGCCGCUAGUUUUAAGGCUGUUGCGUGGCUGAUUUACAUGGUAUUUUUCAGUUGUGUUUAUGGAGGUUUGAAAGCUGGUUUCGGCUAUUGAAGAAGAAGAUGAAGGCUGUUGGUUCCAGAUUGGAAAAUCAGAGAGAGGAAGGGGCCGUUGAGUUGCAGAUCUCUUUUUCAAUCCUCGUUCCUCCUCCUCUUUUUCUGCUAGAAGAAGAUGUCCAGCUGUU
rnacentral:lncRNA from 1 species